rnacentral:tRNA from 1 species
AGCACGAUGGCGAGUGGUUAAGGCGUUGGACUUACGUUCCAAUGGACAAGUGGGUUCGAACUCCACUCGUGCUA